rnacentral:precursor_RNA from 1 species
CCAUCCCUCACAUGAUGUAACUGUGGAGAUCAGCCGCGUCCUGUGAGGGGUGAGG